GACGAACGCUGGCGGCGUGCUUAACACAUGCAAGUCGAACGGAAAGGCCCUGCUUUUGUGGGGUGCUCGAGUGGCGAACGGGUGAGUAACACGUGAGUAACCUGCCCUUGACUUUGGGAUAACUUCAGGAAACUGGGGCUAAUACCGGAUAGGAGCUCCUGCUGCAUGGUGGGGGUUGGAAAGUUUCGGCGGUUGGGGAUGGACUCGCGGCUUAUCAGCUUGUUGGUGGGGUAGUGGCUUACCAAGGCUUUGACGGGUAGCCGGCCUGAGAGGGUGACCGGCCACAUUGGGACUGAGAUACGGCCCAGACUCCUACGGGAGGCAGCAGGGGGGAAUAUUGCACAAUGGGCGGAAGCCUGAUGAAGCAACGCCGCGUGCGGGAUGACGGCCUUCGGGUUGUAAACCGAUUUCGCCUGUGACGAAGCGUGAGUGACGGUAAUGGGUAAAGAAGCACCGGCUAACUACGUG
rnacentral:rRNA from 1 species